AAGAACCUUACCAAGGCUUGACAUAUACAGGAAUACGGCAGAGAUGUCGUAGCCGCAAGGUCUGUAUACAGGUGGUGCAUGGUUGCCGUCAGCUCGUGUCGUGAGAUGUUGGGUUAAGUCCCGCAACGAGCGCAACCCUCGUUCUGUGUUGCCAGCAUUUAGUUGGGGACUCACAGGAGACUGCCGGGGUUAACUCGGAGGAAGGUGGGGAUGACGUCAAAUCAUCAUGCCCCUUAUGUCUUGGGCUGCACGCAUGCUACAAUGGCUGGUACAAACGGCUGCAAUACCGCAAGGUGGAGCGAAUCCGAGAAAGCCAGUCUCAGUUCGGAUUGGGGUCUGCAACUCGACCCCAUGAAGUCGGAGUUGCUAGUAAUCGUAGAUCAGCAACGCUACGGUGAUACGUUCCCGGGGCUUGUACACACCGCCCGUCACAUCACGAAAGUCGGUAACACCCA
rnacentral:rRNA from 1 species